rnacentral:misc_RNA from 1 species
UCACGUAUCCACGUAUCAACCAUAUUGAAUCGUUUCCCUUUGGGACAGAGCGAAAAGCAAUUAUGAAGGACUGUGGCCUUCGCUUUUCAACGCUUUGUCUCAUUGCGGUAUCCUUUAACCACAGUUAAUAUUAACGCCUUUAUUUUAUUGAACUGAUCUGGAGUCUUUAACAAAGGCUCUAAUUUAUUCGAAUUAAAAA